CCUACGGGCGGCAGCAGUGGGGAAUAUUGGGCAAUGGGCGCAAGCCUGACCCAGCAACGCCGCGUGAAGGAAGAAGGCUUUCGGGUUGUAAACUUCUUUUGUCAGGGACGAAGCAAGUGACGGUACCUGACGAAUAAGCCACGGCUAACUACGUGCCAGCAGCCGCGGUAAUACGGAGGUGGCACGCGUUAUCCGGAUUUACUGGGUGUAAAGGGCGGGUAGGCGGGGAAGCAAGUCAGAUGUGAAAACCACGGGCUCAACCUGUGGCCUGCAUUUGAAACUGUUUUUCUUGAGUGCUGGAGAGGCAAUCGGAAUUCCGUGUGUAGCGGUGAAAUGCGUAGAUAUACGGAGGAACACCAGUGGCGAAGGCGGAUUGCUGGACAGUAACUGACGCUGAGGCGCGAAAGCGUGGGGAGCAAACAGGAUUAGAUACCCCUGUAGUC
rnacentral:rRNA from 1 species